UCCAGGCCCUAAUUACAGAAUUUGUAAUAAA
rnacentral:piRNA from 1 species